AUUGAACGCUGGCGGCAGGCUUAACACAUGCAAGUCGAGCGGGGUGAUGGUGCUUGCACCAUCACUUAGCGGCGGACGGGUGAGUAAUGCUUAGGCAUCUGCCUAUUAGGGGGGCACAACGUCCCGAGAGGGAUGCUAAUCCCGCAUACGUCGUACGGGAGAAAGCAGGGGAGCACUCGUGACCUUGCGGUAAUAGAUGGGCCUAAGUCGGGUUAGCUAGUUGGUGGGGUAAAGGCCUACCAAGGCGACGACCUGGAGCGGGUCUGAGAGGAUGAUCCGCCACACUGGGACUGAGACACGGCCCAGACUCCUACGGGAGGCAGCAGUGGGGAAUAUUGGACAAUGGGGGGAACCCUGAUCCAGCCAUGCCGCGUGUGUGAAGAAGGCCUUAUGGUUGUAAAGCACUUUAAGCGAGGAGGAGGCUCUUUUGGUUAAUACCCAAGAUGAGUGGACGUUACUCGCAGAAUAAGCACCGGCUAACUCUGUGCCAGCAGCCGCCGUAA
rnacentral:rRNA from 1 species